rnacentral:rRNA from 1 species
GACGUAGGGCGCAAGCGUUGUCCGGAUUUAUUGGGCGUAAAGAGCUCGUAGGCGGCUUGUUGCGUCGACUGUGAAAUCCCGCGGCUUAACUGCGGGCUUGCAGUUGAUACGGGCAGGCUGGAGUUCGGUAGGGGAGACUGGAAUUCCUGGUGUAGCGGCGAAAUGCGCAGAUAUCAGGAGGAACACCGGUGGCGAAGGCGGGUCUCUGGGCCGAUACUGACACUGAGGAGCGAAAGCGUGGGGAGCGAACAGG